rnacentral:rRNA from 1 species
AUUGAACGCUGGCGGAAUGCUUUACACAUGCAAGUCGAGCGGCAGCGCGGCCUUCGGGCUGGCGGCGAGCGGCGAACGGGUGAGUAAUGCAUCGGAACAUGCCCAGUCGUGGGGGAUAACACUUCGAAAGGAGUGCUAAUACCGCAUACGUCCUGAGGGGGAAAGCGGGGGAUCGCAAGACCUCGCGCGAUUGGAGUGGCCGAUGUCAGAUUAGCUAGUUGGUGGGGUAAAGGCCUACCAAGGCGACGAUCUGUAGCUGGUCUGAGAGGAUGAUCAGCCACACUGGGACUGAGACACGGCCCAGACUCCUACGGGAGGCAGCAGUGGGGAAUUUUGGACAAUGGGGGCAACCCUGAUCCAGCCAUUCCGCGUGAGUGAAGAAGGCCCUCGGGUUGUAAAGCUCUUUCGGCAGGAACGAAACGGUGGGCUCUAACAUAGUCCGCUAAUGACGGUACCUGAAGAAGAAGCACCGGCUAACUACGUG